rnacentral:miRNA from 1 species
UGGGGGCGCUGCAGACACGGAUG